rnacentral:rRNA from 1 species
AUGGCGAUGCCUGCUGCUCUCAGGGCCUUAACUGUCUUGUAUGUGCUUGCAGUUCUUGCUGGAAAUCAGGUGGAAGGGCGGCACCAUCAGCCUGAUUGUCCUUCUUUCUCGUGCGGUCUUCUUGGAAACAUAUCGUCUCCAUUUCGUCGGGCAAGUGAUCCACCUGGGUGUGGCUAUCGAUCUUGCGAGCUGGUUUGCAGUGAUACCAAGGCUACGAUACGCAUCGGCGGUGCAACUUACUAUGUGUCUAGCAUCAACUACAGUAAUUCUUCCUUCUGGGUUGUUGAUGCCGACUUGGAUUUACACAACAGCUGCCCUCUACCUCGGUGGAAUCCUCCAUACCCACACGACAACAUGGAAGUCGAAUUGGACCCCCUUGUAGAUACUCGGGCUUGCUUUGUAGAAUGCUCUCAGGAAGUAAAGGGCACUGGUAUGUACAUGCCUGUUGCUUGCCUAAGCACCAACGAUUCUUUUGUUUACGUGUUAACUGGCCUCAGAUCUACAUACAUGGAGUACCUUCAACCUUCUUGUGGGUACUUGGCCGUGACUCCUCGACCUUGGGACGGUCCGGCGCUAGAAAAUGCAAGUUAUGCAGAUGUUGUGAAAUCCAUGAGGAGUGGAUUUGCUGUUCUAUUUCCUUUGAGAGCUUAUAGGGAGGGCAUCAAGAGAUGCGUAAGGCGUGGGAUUCGCAAGUUUCAUGAAUGGCCAGUGUCUGGAAGGAGCAUCAAGGAUUGGAUUGUGGGAAUUCUUCUGGUUGAGGGAGAUUUCGCAGACUGCAUAUUUGAUGUGACUGGAUUUCCUUAUUAUGUUGGAUACGAGCGGGUCACCAUACUAAUUACUAUGUGGAUUGUGACACUGACUGCAGAUCUAUGCAGGUUCUUGUUGGCACCCCUGGCUGUGUUGAUCUUUCUGGCCCACAAGUAUUGGAAAACAAGGAUCAGAAUUGAUGCAAUCGGGAAGUUCCUCCAAAUGCAACAAAUGCUUGGCCCGACAAGGUAUGCCUAUACUGACAUCACCGCAGUCACGAGCCAUUUCAGAGAUAAGCUGGGUCAGGGAGGCUACGGAUCUGUGUUUAAGGGUGUGAUAUCGCCAGGCAAUGUUCAUGUCGCGGUUAAGAUGCUAGACUGUAACUCCAACUGUAAUGGAGAAGAUUUUAUCAGUGAAGUUUCAACCAUUGGCAGGAUCCACCAUAUUAAUGUGGUGCGUUUAGUGGGGUUCUGCCCGGAGGAAAUGAGACAAGCGCUCGUCUACGAGUACAUGCCUCAAGGUUCUCUUGACAAGUACAUCUUCUCGGCCGAGAAGAAUUUCUCUUGGGACAAGCUAAAUGAGAUUGCUUUGGGCAUUGCCAGAGGGAUUGAUUACUUGCAUCAGGGUUGUGACAUGCAGAUUCUUCACUUUGACAUCAAGCCACACAACAUCCUUCUUGACAACAAUUUUAUCCCAAAAGUUGCUGACUUCGGUCUCGCAAAACUAUACCCAAGGGACAUCAGUUUUGUGCCGUCGAGAGCGCUACGGGGAACUAUAGGGUACAUAGCUCCUGAGAUGAUAUCUAGGAGCUUUGGCGUCAUAUCGAGCAAGUCCGAUGUUUACAGCUUUGGGAUGCUGCUGCUGGAGAUGGCUGGAGGAAGAAGGAAUGCUGAUCCGAAUGCAGCAAAUUCUAGCCAAGCAUACUACCCGGCAUGGGUGUAUGACCGACUAACCCAACAAGACCAUGUUGGUGAGAUAUCUAACCAUGUUGAUGCUGAGAUGCAUGAGUUGGAGAGGAAGCUGUGCAUCGUCGGACUAUGGUGCAUCCAGAUGAAAUCUCAUGAUAGGCCGACGAUGAGCGCGGCAAUAGAGAUGCUGGAAGGCAGCGCGGAUACCUUGCAGAUGCCUUCCAGGCCAUUCUUCUGUGACGAAGGGCACGUCCAUACCGAUGAUACUUACCGUUUGUCGUCCGAGUUGACUGAAAUCUCUGAGGAUAUGAGUGAAAAUAUUGAUGUGUGA